AGGGUCCGCUAAAGUUUGAUCCUGGGUCCGGGGGGUUUCUAACCGGGGGCCCCCUGAAUUUUUUUUUGCCGCUGAGUAAUACUUAAAGAGGGGGACCAAAGUGGGGGAUAGCUCGGGGAAACUCGAAUUAAUACCGCAUACGACCUACGGGAGAAAGGGGGCAACUUGUUGCUCUCGCUAUUAGAUGAGCCUAAGUCGGAUUAGCUAGAUGGUGGGGUAAAGGCCUACCAUGGCGACGAUCUGUAGCUGGUCUGAGAGGAUGAUCAGCCACACCGGGACUGAGACACGGCCCGGACUCCUACGGGAGGCAGCAGUGGGGAAUAUUGGACAAUGGGGGAAACCCUGACUUCCCAAGGUCCAAUUGCCCGCGGUGUGUGUGAACGAAGGCCUUUUGCUUGUAAAGCACUUUAAGGCAGUGAAGAAGACUCUUCGGUUAAUACCCGGAGACGAUGACAUUAGCUGCAGAAUAAGCACCGGCUAAACUCUGUGCCAGCAGCCGCGGUAAUACAGAGGGUGCAAGCGUUAAUCGGAAUUACUGGGCGUAAAGCGAGCGUAGGUGGCUUGAUAAGUCAGAUGUGAAAUCCCCGGGCUUAACCUGGGAACUGCAUCUGAUACUGUCAGGCUAGAGUAGGUGAGAGGAAGGUAGAAUUCCAGGUGUAGCGGUGAAAUGCGUAGAGAUCUGGAGGAAUACCGAUGGCGAAGGCAGCCUUCUGGCAUCAUACUGACACUGAGGCUCGAAAGCGUGGGUAGCAAACAGGAUUAGAUACCCUGGUAGUCCACGCCGUAAACGAUGUCUACUAGUCGUUGGGUCCCUUGAGGACUUAGUGACGCAGCUAACGCAAUAAGUAGACCGCCUGGGGGAGUACGGCCGCAAGGUUAAAACUCAAAUGAAUUGACGGGGGGCCCGCACAAGCGGUGGAGCAUGUGGUUUAAUUCGAUGCAACGCGAAGAACCUUACCUGGUCUUGACAUAUCUAGAAUCCCUGCAGAGAUGCGGGGAGUGCCUUUCGGGAAAUUAGAAUACAGGUGCUGCAUGGGCUGUCGUUCAGCUCGUGUCGUGAGAAAUGUUGGGAUUAAGUCCCGCAACCGAGCGCAACCCAUUGUUCCUUUAAGAUUAAACACAGCGCGGGGGUUAAGCCGGGAACUCUAAGGAUACUGCCAGUGACAAACUGGAGGAAGGCGGGGACGACGUCAAGUCAUCAUGGCCCUUACGACCAGGGCUACACACGUGCUACAAUGGUAGGUACAGAGGGCAGCUACACAGCGAUGUGAUGCGAAUCUCAAAAAGCCUAUCGUAGUCCAGAUUGGAGUCUGCAACUCGACUCCAUGAAGUAGGAAUCGUUAGUAAUCGCGGAUCAGAAUGCCGCGGUGAAUACGUUCCCGGGCCUCUCCCCCCCGCAAAUAUUUUGCAAAAAAAACCUUUUUUUUUUUCCCCCCCCCCCAAAAAGUCGCACCAGGGUAACCGUAGGUUUUGUCA
rnacentral:rRNA from 1 species